rnacentral:lncRNA from 1 species
UGUCCUUCGACUGCUCGUCGAAGUCCUUUUUGCCCCAGUUGGUAGAUCUCUUAACAUUACAGAGAACCUCAAACAAUCCAAAUUGCUAAUCUUCGAUACCGCUUUAUACUCACGAUCUUGUAUCCACUGAUUGUCUUAUUAGAUUAAUCCAAAAAUUUUCACUCACUCUGCAUACUCAAUCCUAUAGACAUCCUUUUAAUCUUUUAAUCACAGACAUAACUUCAAUUUCACAAAACAGUCAAGAGUAAUCACACCCACUUCAUUAAAAAUCUCGAUU